rnacentral:rRNA from 1 species
AGAACGAACGCUGGCGGCAUGCCUAACACAUGCAAGUCGAACGCUUGUCGAGACUUCGGUUUUGGCAGGAGUGGCGCACGGGUGAGUAGCGCGUGGGAACCUGCCCUGUUGUGGGGGAUAACCGAGGGAAACUUCGGCUAAUACCGCAUACGCCCUGGUGAGCGAUCAUCGGGGGAAAGAUUUAUCGCAGCAGGAGGGGCCCGCGUCGGAUUAGCUAGUUGGUGGGGUAACGGCCCACCAAGGCGAUGAUCCGUAGCUGGUCUGAGAGGAUGAUCAGCCACACUGGGACUGAGACACGGCCCAGACUCCUACGGGAGGCAGCAGUGGGGGAAUAUUGGACAAUGGGCGCAAGCCUGAUCCAGCAAUGCCGCGUGAGUGAUGAAGGCCUUCGGUUGUAAAGCUCUUUCGCCCGCGACGAUGAUGACGGUAGCGGGAGAAGGAAGCCCCGGCUAACGUUCGUGCCAGCAGCCGCGGU